UAAGCAAGCCCAUUCAUAUAAACAGGCCCACGGUCCUAAAUAAAGCCCGUGUCGAGAAAAGGAAAAAGCCCACGAACGCGAUUUCUCGACCCAUUCGGGAUGCUCGACCCAUCCCGGCAGCAUCCGCCGCCGUCCCCCGUCGGCGAGCAUGGCGCGGUGGUCGUCCCCUAAGGAUCCCGCCCUGGAGGCCGCGCUCCGGCGCAACCGUCGGUGGGUCGUGAACAACCAGAUCAAGCGGCUCCUCCUCCGCUUCCCGUCCCGCACGGCGCCCGUGCGCUUCCUCCAGUCCCGCUUCAAGACGCUCGACCUCAUGGGCCGCGCCGCCAACUGGCUCGGCAAGUAUCCCUCCUGCUUCGAGGUCUUCUCCGCCGACGCCGAGGGGGGCAGCGGCGAGCAGGAGCCUUACUUCGGCUUCACCAAGCGGAUGGCGGCGCUCGUCGACGCCGAGGAGGCGGCCGUCGCGGCCUCCGAACCGGCGAUGGCUGACCGCCUCGCGCGGGUGCUCAUGCUCGCCCGCGGCCGCCGCCUCCAGGUCUCUAAGCUCUCCGCGCUGCGGGGCCCGCUCGGCCUCCCGGACGACUAUCUCCUCCGCCUCCUCCCCGCCCACACCGACCUUUUCCGCCUCACCAACCCGUACCCUCACCGCCGGAACGCAGCCGAGCUGGAGCUUAUCCGGUGGGCGCCCUCGCUCGCCGUCUCUGCCGUUGAGGCCACCGCGGCCGCGAACGACUCCGCCCCGCGGUUCACCUGCUCGCUGCCCGCCUCCUGGACCAAGUCGCACGCCAAGAUGGAGGAAUUUAACUCCACGCCUUACAUCUCGCCCUACUCGGAGGAAUGGGCGGUGCCGGGCACGGACGCCGAGGCCGAGAAGCGAGCGGUGGCCGUGGCGCACGAGAUCCUCUCACUCACGCUGUGGAGAAAGAUGUCAAUUCUGAAGCUGGAGCAUUUCAGGAGGGAGUUUGGGCUGCCGGAGGACACGGCGAGGAUGCUGCUCCGGCACCCUUGCCUCUUCUAUGUGUCGAACAGAUACAAGAUUCACACGGUGGUGCUGCGUGAGGGUUAUGAGGGGUCGGAGCUGAGGGAGAAGGAUCCUGUGGUGGCGGCCAAGGAUCGGCUCGGGGAGCUUAUGCAGGAGGGGCUGCAAGAGUACAAUCAACGAAGGCGUGCGGCGAAUGUGGAGAAGAAGAGGAGGAGAGGGGAGAUUGACGUGAAGAAAGAGGAAGAAAAGGUGGAAGAUGAGGAAGCGGCACGGCUAGAAAGUGCAGAGAAGAGGGAGGAGAGGAGACGGUUUUACAAGGUGUUGUUCGAUGAUGGCAAUCGGUGAUUGUCAUAAGUUUUUCUCUGUUGAUCUUCAGAGGAAGGCUGGCAAACUAUCUGCAAAUGAAAACGGUCAACCUGUACAGGGAAUGGAAUUUGUUAACUGCGAAGCAGAAUGUGUGACUGAAGAUCUGCAAAGUGGUAUAAUUUUGAUCUAUCACAGAGAGUAAGAGGUUGCAGAACAUGUUGCUGAGAGAAUGUAUUCAUGGAUUGACAAUGGUUAUGAUGGGAUUCUUAGGGGCUCGCAAGUGAGAUAUUGGUGCAGCCUGGAGUGGUUCCGGGUCAGAGAGAAUGGUGUUCAUGAGCUGCAAAUGUUGCUGUUGACGUAUUACUGAAUGAAUGCAUAUGAACAAUGCAAGGCUGGCUGAUCUUUCAGCAGAACAAUAAUUUUACCUUAUGAGCUGUUCAUUCUUGCAUAGCAAAUAUUUGAAUGUAAGAUCCUGAACUUCAGUAAGCAAUCAGUCAGGAGGGAGAAUACCUUUGGCCAUAUUGAAGCCGCGCUUCUCGAGCUCUGUGUACUCCUGGCACAGCGCGCAGGUGUCGCACCAGAAGUGGACACAGCAGUCCAAGCAUGGCGAUUCUUGUAAGUUGUAUUGUGCUCGCAUUGAGGAGCGUUUGCUACAAGUAUACAGCCACUGGCAACCUAUGGACAGUAGCAGAACAUACAGGGUCCCGUUCAUGCAGCACGCUGCAAAUAAGUAGGAGAGUUAUAGAUUGAUGGUUUGUAUGAGUGCACAAAGAGAAGAGGAUGCGGAGAACACCUACAUGUGGAGCCCCUGUCCACAACCUCAGCUACACGGCCAAAUGUAACACAGGGGCACCAGCAAGUCAAGCAACCUGCAACAUCGGGAAAGAAAUGAAAUAUGGAUCGUUCCGAAUCACAUGUGCAAGAAGUGUGAGAAGAACCAAGAAGGUGAACCGCAUACAGGUGCCGACAUCUCCGAAGCAGCUGCAGAGCCCAACAGACCACUCCCCUGACAUGUUGUUGAUAGGCUGAGUAGAUUGUGGUUUGUGCAAGACGGUAAAACGAGGCUUCUGGCUGUGUGUUUUGAGGCAAUGGUACACUUGAUCCUCUAUGGAUUAUAUAGCACUAACAACGCGUAUCAGUAUGACUCAUUACUAAUAGUAUGAACACACUACAAAGCUAAUUGCUUUGAUGGCCUCUCUCAGAGCAGAGUUUUGUUCUUUUCUUGGCUGUUGCACUGAAAUAUUGUAUGCUAUUUUGUGUUUUUGCAGGUUUUGCCUUGAACCGGUCGUCCCGAUGAUCGUCCAAUUGGCAUGUUCUACCUUGAACCAUUCCUUCUGAAAUCCCUAUGCCGAUCCUUUGUUGAGGACUCGGAUCAUUUAGGAGUUUUCAGUUUGGCGGUAACUUUUCCUCCUUUCUUAUAAAAAAAACUUUCAUUCCUCCUCGUUAAUGUUCCCACCAGACUGGCUGGAUGGAGGGGGAAAAGAUGGAAGGUUUCCGUGUCAUCUCGAUGCUAAAGAUGCCAACGGUAAAGAGGAGAUUGUCACGUUGUGGCUUGCUGGAGAGUCUGAUAGCUGCAGGUUUUCCGGCUUCUCGCUGAUAAAGUAGAGAUUGCUGCCGUAUGGCAGUGCCCCCACACGGCUGCUAGUAUAUUCAAGGCCAGUUGAUGCUAACUGCUGACCAGUUCGCUCUGUUUCCGAGUUGCAGAAAUGACGCAGUUCGUGAGCGACAAGAGGUGGCCAUGUCUUGUGAUUGAAGCAAUGCAUCUGGUUUAGUUUGAGUUGAAAGAAUUACAAUAUGGUGUACGUGUAUCCCUUCAUUUCGGGCUCGAUUGCUCCACUACCGAUAAAAAAAUCCGCCUAUUUUUUUUUAUGUUUUACUAAGCUGCCUAGUUGCAGAAUUGGCACGGUUCAUGAUCCAACGGAGCCAGCGACACCGUGCCAUGGCUCCUGAUUGAAGAGAUGGAAAUGACAGAGCCGUUCGUAAACGGCUUUCUCUGCAGCCUUGAUAAACUCGGGCGUACCUUUGAAUUUCAGUCACCUUCCACUUCUAUACUUCAAAUACAUCUCCAACAUAUUACUCAUACCUCAUACUUUAAAUACACUCUCUUUGUUACCAA